GCCUGGGUGGCUCAGUCGGUUAAGCAUCCGACUUCGGCUCAGGUCACGAUUUCGCGGUCCGUGGGUUCGAGCCCCGCGUCAGGCU
rfam:Felis catus isolate Cinnamon breed Abyssinian chromosome C1, whole genome shotgun sequence.